rnacentral:misc_RNA from 1 species
AUAAGUGAUCGGCGCUGGCCCCCUCCACAAUUGCCUCUUGGCCAUUAUUCCACCACCGCACACUCGUCAAGGCCGCUUCCCAAACCCUCGCUCGUGCUGUUCGCCGACGCCAUCUCGCAUCAGGCCUGAUGUACCGCGUGCCACCAACACUCCGCGCUGUAUGUGGUGUUUGCGCUGUUCUCUGCGUGCAGCUCGCAUCAGAAGCGGUGACGCAGAAGCCGUACAGCUUCCAUGAGGCAUGGCGAGCCCACUUCUUCUCCCGCGCGUCCUACUGCGAUAUGCGUCGCGUUCAGUCAUGGACGUGCAGCUCUGCGUGCGGCAGUGUGGCAGCCUUUGAGCUGACGGCUGUAAUGAACCACAUCAUCACAGGCGCCGGCGGCUUUGUCGGCGUGGACCACGCGACGCAGCAGAUUGCGGUCGCCUUCCGCGGCACCGGCAACAUUCAGAGUAUCUUGGCUGGCAUCAAUGUGCUGCUGGCGAAGUACGACAAGAGCUCCAGCUGCGGCUCACAGUGCGAGGUGCACAAUGGCUUCUACGCCUCCUAUAUGUCUCUUCGUCAACAGACACGAGACGCUGUGCUGAAGCUGAUUCGCAAGGGCCCCACGUACGAGAUCCUCGCCACUGGGCACUCGCUCGGUGGGGCCAUGGCGUUACUGGCUGCUGCUGACCUGCAAGAGCGGCUCAACAAUCUUGAAAGCUCCUCUGACUUGAAGCCGGUGCCCGUGUACACCUUUGGCGCACCACGAGUGGGCAACGCUGCCUUUGCAGAGUGGGUAGACUCCUUGCUGGCGAAGGGAGCCAAGUAUCGCAUCACCCAUGCGGGCGAUCCGGUGGUGCUCGUUCCUGCGCGCACGUGGGGCUACGUGCACAGCACCUCGGAAGUGUUCUACAAGACGCGCUCGAAUCACAGUUGUGAUGUGCAACGACUUGCCAGGUCAGGAGGACUCAAGGUGCACCCUCGCAAUGUUCUUUCGUGGGCUUGAUGACCACUUGCACUACAUGGGAGACACCACGGGGAGCAACGAUGAAGCCUCCCUUCCCAGCGCCGCGGUCCGCGAUGCGCCCACGGUAGCGUGCGUCAUCUUCUUGCUUGGAGUUCUGUACAGCCUACUGUGAGGGAGCGUAAUCUUUUCGACGUUCAAGCUGAGCGUGCACGUAGUGGAGUUAGCGUUGUCGAGCUCUUGCUUCUCAGCCCUCGAAUUCGAUGCCCUGACGGGAAUGCCUCACCGCGGCGGUGUUGAGCCUUUGUCUCGCCCUCUUGAUUUUUCUCUCUCCUUUGUGGGUUCAUAAAAGUGUUUCGCAUGUGUGCAUGUGCGUGUGUGUGUGCCUCACCUUCUUUCCCCCGCCGCCGCCUUCGCUGGCAUGUGCAACGUCUAUCUGUGAAUGUUUGUUUUAUAUGGAAAUCUUGACCUUGUCUUUUCCUAUUUGCUCUUCUUAUCGUUCUCCCCCCUCGCGCACGAGCGAUGCUUCAUGAAAUUACAUACGUGCCUUAG